AAGUCGUAACAAGGUUUCCGUAGGUGAACCUGCGGAAGGAUCAUUAUUGAAGUUUUUGAGAGGUUUCGUUGCUGGCUCUCCGGAGUAUUGUGCACGCCUCUCACACUUUAUUCAACCACCUGUGCACUACUCGUAGCUCUUCAGAUGCUUUCAUCAGUCUUCGGACUGGCGGGGACUGCUGCAGUGACUUAUGCUCACAGCUCCAGUCCAAUAUCUGUAGAGUUGCGCUAUAUACACAAACACUGUCAAUGUUUAAGAAUGAAUCAUGGUCUUCCAGACCUUAAAAAUAUAAUACAACUUUCAACAACGGAUCUCUUGGCUCUC
rnacentral:misc_RNA from 1 species